UACGUAGGUGGCAAGCGUUGUCCGGAUUUACUGGGCGUAAAGGAUGCGUAGGCGGACAUUUAAGUCAGAUGUGAAAUACCCGAGCUUAACUUGGGUGCUGCAUUUGAAACUGGGUGUCUAGAGUGCAGGAGAGGUAAGUUGGAAUUCCUAGUGUAGCGGUGAAAUGCGUAGAGAAUUAGGAAGAACACCAGUGGCGAAGGCGACUUACUGGACUGUAACUGACGCUGAGGCAUGAAAGCGUGGGGAGCAAACAGG
rnacentral:rRNA from 1 species